UGAGGAAUCUUGGACAAUGGGCGAACCUACGAUCCAGCCAUGCCGCGUGAACGAUGAAGUCCUUAGGGUUGUAAAGUUCUUUCAACGGUGAAGAUAAUGACGGUAGCCGUAGAAGAAGCCCUGGCUAACUCCGUGCCAGCAGCCGCGGUAAUACGGAGGGGUUAGCGUUGUUCGGAAUUACUGGGCGUAAAGCGCACGUAGGCGGACUAUUAAGUCAGGGUGAAAUCCGGGCAUCGAACCCGCACGAGCUUGCUUGAUCUGGUAGUCUAGAGUUCGAGAGAGGUGAGUGGAAUUCCGAGUGUAGAGGUGAAAUUCGUAGAUAUUCGGAGGAACACCAGUGGCGAAGGCGGCUCACUUGGCUCGAUACUGACGCUGAGGUGCGAAAGCGUGGGGAGCAAAC
rnacentral:rRNA from 1 species